rnacentral:rRNA from 1 species
CCCUUAGAUGUUCUGGGCCGCACGCGCGCUACACUGAUGCAUUCAACGAGUUUCUUCCUGGUCCGAGAGGAAUGGGUAACUUUUUGAAAGUGCAUCGUGAUAGGGAUAGACUAUUGCAAUUAUUGGUCUUCAACGAGGAAUUCCUAGUAGACGUAGUUCAUCAGACUGCAUCGAUUACGUCCCUGCCCUUUGUACACACCGCCCGUCGCUCCUACCGAUUGAAUGCUCAGGUGAGCCAUUCGGACUUUCAUCAUGCUGGUUUCCAGUUUUGAUGAAGGAAAGUCUUGCGAACCUUAUCAUUUAGAGGAAGGAGAAGUCGUAACA